AUGGACAGGGAGGACUCCAUCUCCUGGCGUUGGACUACAAAUGGAAUCUACUCCGCGGCUUCGGCAUAUACAUCCCAAUUCUCUGGCUCCUUCCCCAGGUUCUCGCCGACGAAGAUUUGGGAGGCACACGCGGAACCCAAAUGCAAGCUCUUUUCCUGGCUGGUGCUCCAGGGAAAGAUCCUCACGGCCGACAUGCUCGCUAUUCGCGGAUGGCCGCACGAUCCUACAUGCCCGCUGUGUCUGGGAGCACUGGAGACGGCAACUCACCUCUGCAAGGACUGCCCAUUUGCGAUUGCGGUUUGA
rnacentral:rRNA from 1 species